CACCCUAUUUCACCAAGGUCCACCCACUUGAAGAUUUCUGGCCUCGCCACUGGGUCGAAAGUGGACAAACUCAAACCGUUUUAGACCCCAUUUACACCUGUAUUUAGUGUCGUGCACUUGUGAUCAGAUCAGCCAAAAUGCAUCUUAACACCAGGUGGAAACAGGCCCACAGUCUGCUUCUGGCAGUGGAAUGCUCUCACCCAAAAAUUCAAGUCUCCAGAUCAUCCUACGGCUGCGCUAGAAGAAUGUAAUGGCUAUUGUGAACACUUAUAUUCAUUUUCUGGCCUGCAUUCUGCCAUCUUUCUCUCCCUGUAGGAAGUCGAAUGAGUUUCUUUGAAGACAGAACAUUCAAGGAAAACUUACCUACCCUCUCCCUGGAUAUAAUAUAUAAUUAAAUGUUUUGUUGAAUG